ensembl:lncRNA
CUUCCAAAUCAUUACCCCAGCCAUGGUCCUGCUCCCUGUGCAAAAGCCUCUGUAAACUGCGCAUUGCUGUUCUGCUGAGGCGGAAAUCCUGCCUCAGCUCCGACUCCACAUCCAACCAAAUGCGCAGUACAGGCAUGUUCAGGUUUAAGGCACAGUAUCUGGCCGGAGCACCAGUCUGGAAAAGAAAAACAUUACACACCAUUAGUGGACUGAGUUGGGACAAAAAUGCUGAUGGAGAUAAUUGUCAUCACUGUUAAUAACUUAAGAAUAUAUUAAUCAAGUGCCUUGUAUUAAUACAUUACUUUGUAUGAAUCAAGUAAGCAGGAAUAUGGCUUUUCACAGUUUCCGUGUGUGUAACUUAGAUUAUUAGGUGCUAUUUUGUCUGCAUAUGUGCAAGAGCAUGUUUAGACAAGAGGUGACGGGAAGGGUCGAACUGUGCUUCUCUCGAGCUUGUUGUUUUUGUUUAUCUCCUAAAUAUACUACACGCAACUACGGAGUCCCGAAGUGAAUUUUCAACGAUCAAAUGCCCCCAUCAAACUACUUUAAACUGUUUACGUCUUCCCACAACAAAGCACAUAGUGGCUACAGUUAUGUCUCCCCUCCCCCUGCACAAAGAACAUAGUGACUGCUGUGCAUCGAUAUUACCCACGAGUUGCAUACAUCCUUAACUUUUAGUUAACCGUCAAAGCAAAAUAUUAUACACACAGAUAUUUACUGGGUUCCUAUUCCAAUAACAUGUCAUGUCAUUUAGAAUAACAAGUAGGCUACAUGUAAUUUGCCCGUGUCGAGCUCUACUGUUUUGGUUAGUUCGGUUAACGUUAAACAACUUAACGAUGUUUGCAAACAAUCCAUACAUACCAAAGUUUCAUCCAACAGCACUUGGAGGCGUUGUAGACCUCUUCUCCUUGCUUGAAGUCUGCGAUUUCUUGCAGACAAUCGCAAAAAAAGAACCAAAAACAUCGCAAUGGACACGCACGCACUUGCAGACGGCAUCUUCGAAGUGAUUUGAUUCCGGCGCUCUUCUUCUCUGGCUCUUAUUGGCGUUUCGGCGCUCUGGUGACGGGGCAGCCAGCUGGCGACGAUGAAUGAUGACGUACCCGAAACCAAGUGACGUACCCGAAACCGAGUGGCGUCUCAUUUCAUAGGGGAAAGAUCUCAGCCCUUGGCCCUUACACUUGCAAGUGCUAGGGUUAAGACAAAGACAAAGACAAAGCAAAAGGGGCAAGGGGAAGAAUCGAGAUUCGGCCUUAGUCUAAGUGUUUAUAUCUCGAUUAAUCUUCAACACUACGUGACAUCGUAGCAGUGGGACACAGUGUAACCAACUGAUUAAUUUAAUGACGAGGAAAAGCACCACACAAUAAUCGUGCUGCGAUUACAUUUUUCGCCAAAACACAAGACUCUCUUCACUCUUGCCGAGGUGACUACACAUGGCGUAAAUGAUUCUUUCGACCAAUCAAAUGACGGCAGUGUGUAGGUCCGCCUUUUUGGCACGCUUUCAGGCGGCAAGUACCCCAAUGGAGGAGUACUGAGAUUAGGAGCGGCUCAGAGCGGUUAGGUGCACUUAAACCGUACCCUACCCAACUUUUGGCAAAUGAAAAGCCAAACUACCCGGACCGAACCACUCCGAUCCGACCCGCUCUACUCGGUGGAAACGAGGCAUUAUAGUAGCACGGUUAUGGGUGCUACUGUUAGUCAAUUACUAAUGUUAUUGUUACUGUUUGUUAUGUUAUUGUUGCUGUGUCUCCCUCUCAAUGUACCAGAGCAUCCUUGUCCGAAGGUCACUGAUCGACCUUCUCCUCUGACGCAAAGCAGCGGCUACCCAGCCAGUUUGACGGAUGACCACCCGACCAGAGGCUCCAUCAGUCGUUCCUUGUUGGUGUAGUUGUUCCAUUUUGUUGUCUGUACAAUUAAGAGUUUGUUCCGGACCACCUCUAUUUGAUUUCUGUUUUGAUGUUGUGCUACAUAAAGAUAAUUGAAUUGAUUGAAUUGAGUUCAUUAUUUUAUGUAACUAAAUUCUAAAACCUUUG